AUUGAACGCUGGCGGAAUGCUUUACACAUGCAAGUCGAACGGCAGCACGGACUUCGGUCUGGUGGCGAGUGGCGAACGGGUGAGUAAUGUAUCGGAACGUGCCCAGUCGUGGGGGAUAACGUAGUGAAAAUUACGCUAAUACCGCAUACGAUCUAUGGAUGAAAGCGGGGGAUCGCAAGACCUCGCGCGAUUGGAGCGGCCGAUAUCAGAUUAGGUAGUUGGUGGGGUAAAGGCCCACCAAGCCAACGAUCUGUAGCUGGGCUGAGAGGACGAGCAGCCGCACUGGAACUGGGACACGGUCCAGACUCCUACGGGAGGCAGCAGUGGGGAAUUUUGGACAAUGGGCGAAAGCCUGAUCCAGCCAUUCCGCGUGCAGGAUGAAGGCCCUCGGGUUGUAAACUGCUUUUGUACAGAACGAAAAGGUUUCUACUAAUACUAGGAGCUCAUGACGGUACUGUAAGAAUAAGCACCGGCUAACUACGUGCCAGCCGCCGCCGUAA
rnacentral:rRNA from 1 species